rnacentral:snRNA from 1 species
GUGCUCGCUUUGGCAGCACAGAUACUAAAAUUGGAACGAUACAGAGAAAAUUAGCACAGUCCCUGGUCAAGGAUGACACGCAAAUUCGUGAAGCAUUCCAUAUUUUU